rnacentral:rRNA from 1 species
GCCGAUGUCUGAUUAGCUAGUUGGUAAGGUAAUGGCUUACCAAGGCGACGAUCAGUAGUUGGUCUGAGAGGACGGCCAGCCACACUGGGACUGAGACACGGCCCAGACUCCUACGGGAGGCAGCAGUGGGGAAUUUUGGACAAUGGGCGCAAGCCUGAUCCAGCAAUGCCGCGUGAGUGAAGAAGGCCUUAGGGUUGUAAAGCUCUUUCAGUUGAGAAGAAAAGAUUGUGACUAAUAAUCAUAAUUCAUGACGGUAUCAACAGAAGA